UGUGGAAUCUUUUAGAUGCUGCUGGCUC
rnacentral:piRNA from 1 species